rnacentral:tRNA from 1 species
GGGGAUUUAGCUCAGUGGUAGAGCACUUGCCUAGCAAGCACAAGGUCCUGGGUUUGGUCCCCAGCUCUG